UGCAGCCACAUUACAUUGAAACACCAGUCCCUGUAUGAUUACUGAAGUUAAGCAACAUUGAGCCUGGUCAGUGCUUAGAUGGAUAACUGCUUGGGAAUACCAGAUGCUGUAAG